AGCAGUAAGUAAUUGCAAGUUGUGAAAGAGGAUUAGGACAUAACAUUGGACAGGCUCACAUUUUGGUGGACGGUGAAAAUUGUUUAAGCUAAAUCUCUUGAGCUACCUGGUGUUUAAUUCUUUUUGUGAAUGAAAAUUGAGAUGUCUAUUGCAACCGGAAUUACAGAGGUAAUGUUUUUAUGCCGAUAUUUUUAUGUUUGUGUCAUAUAGCUUUAUAUUUUCUCUUUUUAGAGGGAUCUGCAAUUGGGAGACCUGAUUGUUUUUGUUCAGAGGUGGGGCAUCCGAUGAUUUAUUUUCAGGCAAAUGAAGCUGUUAAUCAGAUUAGUCUGUUUUAAUUAUGAUAUAAUUACACAUUUUUGUAAAUUUUACCAUGUCUUUGUGUUACUGUUUUUUAGGUUGCAUUUUAACUGCAACAGACUACUAACACAGGUGUUGGAUGCCACAGCUAACUCUGCUCUAAUGGUAAUAGACACUUUCUUUUUACACAGAAAGCUUCAAGUUCGGAAUGCUGAUGGUUGGUAUGCGUUUGUUUUUGCGUUUAUGUAUUAAAUGUUUUAAUACCUGUUUUAAAAUAUAAAUGCAUCAAUAUUCCAUUUUUGUGUUUUUACGUUUGUUUUAUGUAUGCUGCGAUAUUUAAUUUUAUCUUUUUACACAGAAAGCUUGGUGCUUCUGAGGGAUGUUCAUGCGGAUGAUCGGUAUUUGUGUACUUGCUGUCUUACUAGUAUGUAUAUUUUAUUUUUUUUUUAUAUAAAUAUACAUAUAUGUAUAAAUACCAUAAUUAUGUAUGUUUUAAUUUUUAAGUGGUUUUUGCUUUAUCUGUGAUAUAGUUGCGUGCGUAGGCUGCAUUGUGUGAACGAGGGCAGGACGCGCUUUUUUUUAGAUUGCUGUGGUUUAGGUCUGUAUAAUUCUGGGUUUAGGGUACGUAUGUUUUUGUUUUUAAAUAGAGAACUCUGCAUUGACUGAGGAAUUCUUAGAUACCUUUCUCUUUCAUCUAGAUAGUGAACUGAACGGCUUUAAGGCAAGAUGAUGGUUUGUACUUCUGUUUUACAGGUAUGUAUAUUUUGAUGUUUUAACAUGUUUUAUAAUAUGAAUUGAAUAGGUAAAUACCAUUUUUGUGUUUUUUAUUUUAGUUUUAUUUAUGCUGUUACAAUUUUUUAUUUUGUCUUUUUUUACACAAAAAACUUCAGCUUGAUGUGUGUGUGUUCGGGUGUUUUCAACAAUUUCAGUCAUCAGUCAUAUAAAUGACGGUAAGUUGAUGGUUUGUAUUAGUGUGUUUUAUGUAUAUUUUAAUGUUUUACCACACAUUUUAAAAUAUGAAUAUGUACAUUUUAAUGUUUUAACGUACAUUUUAAAGUAUGAAAAGAAUGUAUAGAUACCAUUUUGUGUAUAUUUUGAUUUGUGUAUGUUACCAAUUUACACAGAAAGCUUCAAAUGGGCAAGCUGAUGGUUAGUAUUUGAGUACUUAUGAAUGUCAUAGAGAUUGCAUUUAACCAUUUUGAUGUACAUUUGUUGACUAUAAUAUUUAUUUCACAGACAAAGUCUGAUGGUGCUUGUUUUAUUUUAUGGUCAUUAUUAGAAGUGAAGUUCAAGCAUACAUGACAUUGGACUAUUUUGGCUCAGAAGAACCUGGGGCACUUGUCACCAAUCCCAGAAGGAGCAAUUACUAGAGGUUGCGAAGGAUGAAGUUGAGGGUGAUGAGGAUGAUGAUAGUUCAAGUGCGAAAUAGUGGUUGACAUUAUAGAGAAUGGAGCAAAAGCAGAUUGUAUACUGGUCAGAAUGAAGAUGACUUGAGAUGAAAAGACUAGACAACAACUAAUAGAUGUUGAAGAAAAGUCCAACUGCAAACUGUCAAGACAUACAGUAAGGAUGUGGAUCUGUGGUAAAUAAAGGUAAUGUCUCUGUGCGUACACAGAGAGAAAUCAUUCAUUCAAAGUGAUACUGUAGAAAGAGAAAAAUGUUGAAUAACUUAAAAAAUCAGUUUCUUGGUUAAAAUCUUUGUUUUGGUCCACCUUUUCUCAAAAACUGUAAGAGCUAGUUUUGAAACUUUUUUUUGUACUAGAAACUCUGAACUAUAACUCUUUUCUUGUAUCUUGUCCAGCUAUUUUUAGCUCGACUAUUCAUAGAAUAGUAGAGCUAUUGGACUCGCCCAUGCGUCCGCGUCCCGAUUUGGUUAAGUUUUUGUGUGUAAGCUGGUAUCUCAGUAACCAUUUGUGGGAAUGGAUUGAAACUUUACACACUUAUUAACUGUGAUAAACUGACUUACAUUGCACAGGUUCCAUAACUCUAUUUUGCUUUUUUACAAAAUUAUGCCCCUUUUGCCACUUAGAAUUUUUUGGUUAAGGUUUUGUAUGUAAGAUGGUAUCUCAGUACUCACUAAUUGGAAUGGAUUGAAACUUCACACACUUGUUCAUUGUCAUGAUCUGACAUGUACAA